GUGCUCGCUGCGGCAGCACAUAUACUAAAAUUGGAAUGAUACAGAGAUUAGCACGGCCCCUGCAUAAGGAUGACAUGCAAAUUCGUGAGGUGUUCCAUAUUUUA
rnacentral:snRNA from 1 species